rnacentral:tRNA from 1 species
GUGGCUGUGGCAGAGUGGUAAUGCCCCUGAUUGUGAUUCAGGAACUCGCGGGUUCGAUUCCCGUCGGUCACC